CUUUACUUCAAUCUCCUCUUGCCAAGAGUUACGAUCCAGUCCCGCCUUUAGGAGAGGACUAGAUCGUAACAAUUGGCUGUCGAGAGGACAAGAUCGAAACACAUGGCUAUCGAGAGGACUAGAUCGUAACACAUGGCUAUCUCAGGAGGACAAAAUCUUAACCAUUAGCUAGCAAAGAUACUUUACUUCAAAUACGACCUGGAUGAAUGGCAC
rnacentral:lncRNA from 1 species